GAGUUUGAUCCUGGCUCAGGAUGAACGCUGGCGGCGUGCCUAAUACAUGCAAGUCGAGCGAACGGACGAGAAGCUUGCUUCUCUGAUGUUAGCGGCGGACGGGUGAGUAACACGUGGAUAACCUACCUAUAAGACUGGGAUAACUUCGGGAAACCGGAGCUAAUACCGGAUAAUAUUUUGAACCGCAUGGUUCAAAAGUAAAAGACGGUCUUGCUGUCACUUAUAGAUGGAUCCGCGCUGCAUUAGCUAGUUGGUAAGGUAACGGCUUACCAAGGCAACGAUGCAUAGCCGACCUGAGAGGGUGAUCGGCCACACUGGAACUGAGACACGGUCCAGACUCCUACGGGAGGCAGCAGUAGGGAAUCUUCCGCAAUGGGCGAAAGCCUGACGGAGUAACGCCGCGUGAGUGAUGAAGGUCUUCGGAUCGUAAAACUCUGUUAUUAGGGAAGAACAUAUGUGUAAGUAACUGUGCACAUCUUGACGGUACCUAAUCAGAAAGCCACGGCU
rnacentral:rRNA from 1 species